ensembl:lncRNA
AAAGGUUAUCUUCUGGUUGUGGGGUAUACUUCCUAAAGUAUGUUCCUUAUCGAACAAUAAUCCAGGUUUAUAUAAUAAUCCACCUCCACAAUAAUCACGAUGGCGUAAAAAGGAAACAUAAGAAGAGAGGAAUAUAAAGACGCAGUUUUAUUCACACUUUCACUAUUGCAAAAUCAUCCUCAAAGUAAAGCAAUGCUUACAGUAUACAUCUGAGACAUUACACACUCAACACUCACAGAGAAGAUUGGUAUCUAUGAAACAAUAAUAAGGAAGUUGAUUUAAAAGAGCGGUGUGUAUAAUUGCUAUUGCCAGUAUAGGCAAUUUAUUUCAGAAGCAUUGAAAUUUUCUUAACAUCUCGUCCGCAUCAAUAGAUCAAAUGCUCUGUCGCAGGCCUAAAAUAAGCCUGUCCAGUCUGAAAUGAUUGGCCCGCCCACCUGUCUGUCUAAACGCCCACCUGCACGCACUCGACCCAUGCACUCAUUGCUCAUGAGCGGAGUCUUCCACAAGGCCUGGCCGACCAUCUGGCUAAAGCCAGCUAGCUACUCGUGUUUCGGGGCCUGGGUUUGGAAGGAGGCCAGAAGGGAGGGGCAGGAUCUUUCAGGUUCAGGCUUUCCAAAUCAAGCUCACUCUGGCUUCUCCAAAUCGCCUAGCUGAAAUAGCUCAAGCUGUAUGCCAGUGAUGAACCUUACACUUGCAUUGAUUUGGUCACGGAACACACUGACAUUCAACAUUGCCGUGAAAAAAUAACUAAUUUACAAAAGAUUACAUGGAAAUAUUACCUGACGUGACUCUUCAGCCACAUUCCGAACAGCUACUAAAAUACAUCAACAUGGUUUACAUUCCUAUAAAACAGAUUUAUCCUGAAGUUUUGAUCAGUAAUGGCAGUGAGGGUAUGCUACAUGUAGACCGGGAUCUCUUGAACCCGUUAAAAACAAACAAAAUCUUUCACAGUGUCAAUAUGAAAACAUCUCUCUCGUCGUCACCCAUAAACGCUCUACAAAGUACCCCCUUAGCUCAUCUCAGUGUUGACAGUCGUGACACUACAACGGUACAUCACACAAUAUGCGAUACUGUAACUACUUUGGUUUACUUUGGAUUCAGGGACUCUGAACUGAUGGCAUCACAAGCAACGCAGCGAUGACCGAAGCACAGAGAGGGAGUCAUAUGCUCAGCAUCAGCCGCGGUCCGCAAGCAAAGCAUAUCCUAUUUACACGGGCGGGAGGGACGGAGGUACGGGGGGGGUUCUAAAGAAAUAAAAUGAAACUGCCAUCCAAAAAACAAACAUUCCUGGAUACGUGACCAAGAUCCUUCCUGACCCUCUGAGGAGGGGGG